GCGCUCCCCACCCUGGAGCGUACCAGCCGAGGCCGGGACCGUGACAUCAACUGCCGCGCUGGGUGCCAGGCGCCAGAAUCUCUCGGCCACGUGCUCCAGGCCUGUCAUCGCGGCCACCGGGGGGCGGGUCAAGCGACACAACAACGUCGCAGGCUAUGCCCGGGAUCGGCUGGCACAGAUGAAGUGGCAAGUCAAGUGGGAGCCACACUACACGUGCACCGUCUCCGGAAACGUGAUGAAGCUGGACCUGGUCGCAUACAAGGAUGCGGACUGCGUGGUCCUGGACGCCCAGAUCGUGGGGACCACCAUGGAACUGGGCUUCCACCACGCCCAGAAAAAGACCAAAUACAGCACCCCGGACCUCCUGGACCAGAUCCGGGGAGACCGAGCCGGAGCCGUGGCGGUAUCGACCAUCACGCUCAACUUCCGUGGGGCGUGGUCGGCCGAGAGCGCCCAUGACCUCAAGGGGCUCGGCUUCACCGACAGUGACCUUAAGAACAUGUCCGUCCGCUGUCUCCAGGGCGGCGUGGCGUGUUUUCGCCGGCACCGCAACAUGACCACCGUGGUGCGAGCCACGGGCGAGGACGUCGAAACCCGCUGCACUCGUUCGGGCCCGCCACCAGUCUAGGCUGGUGGCAAAUCUGGUGCCUCUGCCAUCCAGAGAGCAAGACCGUCAUUGCAACGCCCCGGAGCUGUAACCACUCCUGGAUCUACCUGGACUUAGGAUGUACUGCUUAGGGUGUUGUUGGAUGAAUAAACGGUUAAAUAGCCAAAUGCCUCGUCAAUUAGUGACGCGCAUGAAUGGAUUAACGAGAUUCCCACUGUCCCUAUCUACUAUCUAGCGAAACCACAGCCAAGGGAACGGGCUUGGAAAACUCAGCGGGGAAAGAAGACCCUGUUGAGCUUGACUCUAGUCUGAUUCUGUGAAAAGACAUGAGAGGUGUAGCAUAAGUGGGAGGCCGUGAACCCUCGUGGUUGUGUCGUGCCGACAGUGAAAUACCACUACUUUCAUUGUUUUUUUGCUUACUCGGUGAAGCGGAAAGCGGACCAUGAGUGUCCACGCUUCUAGCACUAAGUGCAAGGCCCUUCGCUGGCCCGCACGAUCUGAUCCGAGGACAGUGUCAGGCGGGGAGUUUGACUGGGGCGGUACAUCUGUCAAAUGGAGCAUUGGUCCUUCGGGGCCCAGUGCGGUAACGCAAACCAGCUCGGAGACGCGAUGCGAGCCCGGGAAGAGUUU
rnacentral:ncRNA from 1 species